CGUUGUGCCAAAUAUUAAACUAUCGUCAAUCGGUUUCUUAUAAUACUAUUUUUUUAAAAUCAUUAAUUGUGUUCAAAAUGUUUAAGCUGUUAAGCGAAUACACUUCAUUAGAAAAAUUAAGUCUUUUUUUGCUAACCAUAUUCGUUCUCAAGUUUACAUCGGCUUUGAUUCGUCUAAUUUAUUAUAAUGCUAUUGCGCCAUUUCUAAACACACAUAUAGACUUCAGAUCAACUGGAAAAUGGGCAGUUGUGACCGGUUCUACCGAUGGAAUUGGAAAAGCUUACGCUGAACAAUUAGCCAAAAUGGGCAUGGCUAUAGUGUUAAUAAGUAGAACCGAAUCAAAACUUGAACAUACCGCUAAAUAUAUUCGUAA